AGUGUGGUGACAAAGGACAUUAUGCAAACAAGUGUCCGAAGUCCAGAUCAGAAGUGAUUGGAUUGUAACGGAGAUGCAGUCUUUUUAUACAGUCAUUCUGUUUGGCAGUUUAUACAUUCAGAACUAAUCUUAGAUGGACGGAAGGGGGAGAGAGGAGGAACACGUUGCUUCCCCUUCUUUCUCGCGGUUUUUUUUCUCUCUACCCUUUCCCCGUUUACACCUGCAACGCAGGCUAUUUUUCAGAGGUACAAAAUAACUUCAAAUAAAAGGAAACUCAAAAGAACAGAUUUAUGAGGUAGAAACACUCCAAAGCGAGAAAGUAAACUGAAAAUGUAUAAGGUUAGUUAUUUGUGAGCAAGAUUGAAAACGCUUUCGAAGGAAGUGCCGAUGUCAUUCGUAUUCUUUAUUUUCUGGUAAAUAAAUGGUUGAUUGUUGUUGUUAUUGUACAACUUGGAAAAAAGAGUAAUUUGUUAAGAUUCACUGUAUGAUCCUUGUGGCAAGGGUUUUUUUUUUUUGUAUAAAAUUGUAGUACGGGCCACAGACGGCAUAGCCUAUUUAAUACGCAGACGUUCUUAUUGCUUGUCACGCACUCCUACAAUGCGUGACCAGUCCAAAGAGCGUCUACAUAGGAGCUACAGACGAAAUCUCAAACUGCGCUCUCGUCUGACAGAUAGCCCAUCUGUGCUCUUGAAUUUGAACCUGUUCGGUCCUGUUCUAAUUCCGAUGACAGUCAAAGAAUUGUUACUCGUCGUUUAACAUGCAAUUGAUGGUCGUCGGAGCUGAGAAUGCUUGUGUUCAAACUCUUGUGCGUCAACUUUUGAAACUUGCCUGCGUUUCUGGCAGUUUUCUUGCGUGUUGCGAGCAGCGCAGGCCACGACUAGAAAUAUUUAUAUAUUAUUCAAACUACGCCCAGUAGCCUUAACUAUACAAUCUAUAUUUUUGAAAACGAAACGACAUUUGUCCGGUCAUUUUUCCGCAUAGCCUUUGACGAUGGCAUAGGUUUUGGAAGCAAAGAAAAUAAAGAUUCACUAAAAGUGAACUGAUACCUGGAAAAAUUA